GACGAACGCUGGCGGCGCGCUUAAUACAUGCAAGUCGAACGAGAAUCAUUGGUGCUUGCACCGAUGAAGACAGUGGCGAACGGGUGAGUAACACGUGAGAAACCUGCCCCAAAGACUGGGAUAAGCCGAGGAAACUUGGUCUAAUACCGGAUACCUUCUAACUAUCACAUGUUAGAUAGAAGAAAUGCUCCGGCGCUUUGGGAUGGACUCGCGACCUAUCAGCUUGUUGGUGAGGUAAAAGCUCACCAAGGCAACGACGGGUAGCUGGUCUGAGAGGAUGUCCAGCCACACUGGAACUGAGACACGGUCCAGACUCCAACGGGAGGCAGCAGUAGGGAAUCUUGCACAAUGAGGGAAACCUUGAUGCAGCGACGCCGCGUGCGGGAAGAAGGCCCUAGGGUUGUAAACCGCUUUCAGCAGGGACGAAAGUGACGGUACCUGCAGAAGAAGCCCCGGCCAAAUAUGUGCCAGCAGCCGCGGUAA
rnacentral:rRNA from 1 species